rnacentral:misc_RNA from 1 species
GAAAUGCGAUACGUAGUGUGAAUUGCAGAAUCCAGCGAACCAUCGAAGCCUUGAACGCACACUGCACCUGCAGGCGAACUGCAGGUACACCUGUUCGAGCGUCGGCUCAACAUCACCCCAAGCGCCCCUCCAAGGGGGAGCGCGAGGGCGUGGACAUGGGUGUCCGCCCGGUAACCUGGGCGGUCGCCUCGAAUCACAGCACCGGUGCUGCGACGUACCAGCCCUGCCACAGCUGCGAGGAGUUGAAUCCAACUGGCUGAACGGGAGGAAGUCGAUGGUCGUCGCCUGCCACCCAGGUGAAAGCAGGAGGGGAGCUCCGGCUCCCCCUCGAGGGUACAACCUAAAUCCUCGACCUCGAAUCAGGUGAGAUCACCCGCUGAACUUAA